GAUGAACGCUGGCGGCGUGCCUAAUACAUGCAAGUCGAGCGAACAGACGAGGAGCUUGCUCCUCUGACGUUAGCGGCGGACGGGUGAGUAACACGUGGAUAACCUACCUAUAAGACUGGGAUAACUUCGGGAAACCGGAGCUAAUACCGGAUAACAUGUUGAACCGCAUGGUUCAACAGUGAAAGACGGUCUUGCUGUCACUUAUAGAUGGAUCCGCGCCGCAUUAGCUAGUUGGUAAGGUAACGGCUUACCAAGGCAACGAUGCGUAGCCGACCUGAGAGGGGGAUCGGCCACACGGGAGCUGAGACACGGUCCAGACUCCUACGGGAGGCAGCAGUAGGGAAUCUUCCGCAAUGGGCGAAAGCCUGACGGAGCAACGCCGCGUGAGUGAAGAAGGUCUUCGGAUCGUAAAACUCUGUUAUUAGGGAAGAACAAAUGUGUAAGUAACUAUGCACGUCUUGACGGUACCUAAUCAGAAAGCCACGGCUAACUACGUG
rnacentral:rRNA from 1 species